rnacentral:lncRNA from 1 species
UUGUGACCCCUUCUUAUAAAGAAUACAUCAGAUAACAUUUGCAAGUGCUUAGCUCACUUGCUGUUGGACCCAGGGGCUGAUAAUGCAAGUCUCUAGGACUCGGGGCAUCUGUUUUCCUUCUCUCCCCCAACAGAUGCAGGUGACCACCUGGCUGGCCCUGAGAGCUACUUGCAGGCUGCCAGCAGCACACCAUUGUCACCCCACGUCGCCCCUGUGAGCAGGAGCAUCAGGUCGGCAGUGUUGCUCCUCAGUGGAUGCACCGUGACCAGAACGAGGUCGCUGGAUCGGAUGAACUGAGCCUACUACCCCAGCUCCUGCCGCAACCCCAGACC